ensembl:lncRNA
UACAGCUUUUCCAUUGUUUAAGAAAAAAAAACAAAAACAAAUAAGAAACAGAGAAAGAGGGCAGGAGACUCACAAAGACCGUAGAAAGGACAAUCUGUGUCAGGACUGUACAGAAAGAUAUGAACAAAGGGAGCAAUCUGCAACAUGACGAAGCUUUUAGUGUGCCUCAGCGUCCAACAGCUUAUAUUAUACAGACAGAUAUGUUUCCACCCCCUAUCCUGCAAAUCUCAACGCCUUCACCAUCCGAACUGAUCCUCUGAGAUUUGGAUCCUUCCCAAGUUCGUUUAACUUGAUCAAUUUUUAAUGGCUGUCACUGGUUAUUUCACCCAGUCAGUCAACAGCUUCUACAGUUCAAAACAGCAGCCACUCUCCUCCCGCUCUGGCGUAACACAGGGCUCAGGAUCUACAGAAAUUAUUCAUCUGCAUCAUAAAGAACUUGAAGGAACUGUAAAAGAGAUUGAUCCCUGACAGCCGCACUAAACUUGAAAGCCCCUUCCUGGCUCUGAAGAAGGAGAAUUCUGACCUGAAAAGGGGUCUUGAGUGAACAGCCUCAAAGGGAAUAAAAUAUUAGCCUGUAAAACCAGCACUCACUAGAAAACUCGGGUGAUCUUUUAAUGUAGGUACACCUCUUGCCGCAGGCACAGCCAACAUAAUUACUUGUCACACUGUAUCUCAAGCUGGAAGGUUGAUGUAACAGAACACACUUCACCUCCUUUUGCCCUAAGUCCUGAGCAAGCCUCCAUGUACUAUCCGCCAGUGCUACUAUUCCAGAGACCAAGUCCUGCAGGACAACAUCACCAUUUAGUGCUGUACCCCAAACAUACUGCUAUGCCAUUAACAUUACGUUUUUAUAGUGAUGCACCUCCAGUUACUAAAUCCAUGCUGGUUAGUGUCUUCAGUAAUCUGGAGGUGGCAGGAAAGAACUUGUGCUAGUCAGCAACACUGAUCGUUACGAGGGUUAUAGAUGGCUGACCAGAAGGAACAUUUAUCCCAAAAGCAUACAAGGUGAAGAAGGAGGGAAGCCUUCAUUUAUCGAACUACAAGUAAGUCUAGAAAUCCUUUGGGAGCAAGAAACGGACAUUCACAGACAUCCCAUUUGUGCAGUGAACACUGCUGAACCGCUCCUGUUGCCAAGGUAUGUGCUGGCACAGGGACGUUUCCAGGGCGCCACAAUGUAUUGUCAUGCAAACGAUGCAGUUACUGAAGGGACUUCCCAGCAACAGAGCGCAUUUUUUUCCACCAGUUUGAUCCUAGCAUUGAAAAAGAAACAAAACGACGGCAUGAAAGGGAGGCAGCAUUGGUCUAAACCAGAACCACGACCCCAGAGCUGUGUGUGUGCCAAACCUGCCUUCGGUGCGCUCAGUAGUCCCUGCUGCUCUUUAUUCAAGCAAGAACAUGGACAGAGCUGGGCCCUGCAAUCCGGGGAAUCACACGCAGUGCUUUUUAACUACAUUAUUUUUCAUAAGCUGUGAGUGAUGCUGAAAACAGUGGAAGACAGUGAUACACAAUCCUACACUCAGACAAUCAUUAUAUAUUUUUCAGCCACAGUUUGCUACUUGGAAUUAACUCACAUGAACUGGUUUUGAGUUGAAUGCUGUCAAAAGCUUACUGGUAGAAACCAAAAACUUCAAAAGCUCCAUUUUCCAGGAAAAAAGCAGAGGAGCAUCUACACAUCCAGUCAUACAUUUGUAAAUCCAAGUCUUUUUUGCCUUUAAUGAUUGUUAGUAUAAUAGCUUGGAUGAUACAUUUUUAGCCCUUUUCAGGUACAGAAAUUUAUGAUCUCCAGCAGCAGUAAUAACUGAGCAGAAUAACUGGUGUUCAGUUUCCCUUAUUGAAACAAAUUACAAGAACAAAUACUUAUUUUUCAUAGAAACUCCUGUUUGUUUGCAUCCACAAGGAAACUGGCCGCAUACCACAGAAACAUUGGUGAUGGAUACUUAGAACUUAAAGUCCUCCAGAUGUGUCCACAUCAAAUCUUUCCCUUAAGUCCUUGCCCGGGUUAAUUUUUCCCCAUCCUAACAGCCACCUCCCAGUCUCACUCUAAAAGAUAAGGCAGAAUUUGCAGUGGCUAUCACCUGUUUGUUUAAGAAUAAAGACUCACCUUUCUGGG